GAUGAACGCUGGCGGCGUGCCUAAUACAUGCAAGUCGAGCGCACGGACGAGAAGCUUGCUUCUCUGAUGUUAGCGGCGGACGGGUGAGUAACACGUGGAUAACCUACCUAUAAGACUGGGAUAACUUCGGGAAACCGGAGCUAAUACCGGAUGAUCUUUUGAAUCGCAUUGUUCAAAAGUGAAAGACUGUCUUGCUGUCACUUAUAGAUGGGUCCGCGCUGCAUUAGCUAGUUGGUAGGGUAACGGCUUACCAAGGCAACGGUGCAUGGCCUGCCUGAGAGGGUGGUCGGUCACCCUGGAACUGAGAAACGGGCCAGACUCCUACGGGAGGCAGCAGUAGGGAAUCGUCCGUAAUGGGCGAAAGCCUAAAGGAGCAAGGCCGCGUGAGUGAUGAAGGUCUUCGGAUCGUAAAACUCUGUUAUCAGGGAAGAACAUAUGUGUAAGUACCUGGGCACAUCGUGACGGUACCUAGUCAGAAAGCCACGGCUAACUACGUG
rnacentral:rRNA from 1 species